rnacentral:rRNA from 1 species
CAGCAGCCGCGGUAAUACGAGGGGGGCAAGCGUUGUUCGGAAUUAUUGGGCGUAAAGCGCACGUAGGCGGAUCGAUCAGUCAGGGGUGAAAUCCCAGAGCUCAACUCUGGAACUGCCUUUGAUACUGUCGAUCUGGAGUAUGGAAGAGGUGAGUGGAAUUCCGAGUGUAGAGGUGAAAUUCGUAGAUAUUCGGAGGAACACCAGUGGCGAAGGCGGCUCACUAGUCCAUUACUGACGCUGAGGUGCGAAAGCGUGGGGAGCAAACAGGAUUAGAUACCCCUGUAGUCCCUGUCUCUUAUAC